UACAGAGGGGGCAAGCGUUGUCCGGAAUUACUGGGCGUAAAGGGCGCGUAGGCGGCCUGUUAAGUCGAACGUGAAAUCCCCGGGCUCAACCCGGGAACUGCGUCCGAUACUGGCAGGCUUGAAUUCGGGAGAGGGAUGCGGAAUUCCAGGUGUAGCGGUGAAAUGCGUAGAUAUCUGGAGGAACACCGGUGGCGAAGGCGGCAUCCUGGACCGAGAUUGACGCUGAGGCGCGAAAGCCAGGGGAGCAAACGGG
rnacentral:rRNA from 1 species